AGUUACCAUAGUCCCCCAGAACAGCUGACCCAGUCACAUUAUGAAGUUACCAUAGUCCCCCAGAACAGCUGACCCAGUCACAUUAUGAAGUUACCAUAGUCCCCCAGAACAGCUGACCCGGUCACCUGCCUGCUGAUAGAAGGUAUCAGUCAGAGCGCAGCCUGCUGAUAGAAGGUAUCAGUCAGAGCGCAGCCUGCUGAUAGAAGGUAUCAGUCAGAGCGCAGCAUGCUGAUAGAAGGUAUCAGUCAGAGCGCAGCCUGCUGAUAGAAGGUAUCAGUCAGAGCGCAGCCUGCUGAUAGAAGGUAUCAGUCCGAGCGCUGCCUGCCGAUAGAAGGUAUCAGUCCGAGCGCUGCCUGCCGAUAGAAGGUAUCAGUCAGAGCGCUGAUAGAAGGUAUCAGUCAGAGCGCUGCCUGCUGAUAGAAGGUAUCAGUCAGAGCGCAGCCUGCUGAUAGAAGGCCUGGUACUGAAUUAUGAGUUUAGAAGUGCAACUGAAGCACAAAAUUAGUCUGAUGCUGAGCAGAAAUGACAAUAAGAAGCAUUUUAGGAAUGUGUUUACAAAACUCA